CCUGUCAAGCCAUGCUGUGGCGGCGUCCCAUAUAAAAGAACUAGAAAGGACUUACAGCUAGGGUAUAUAACCAUGUACUGGGGCUUCGGGGAG